rnacentral:rRNA from 1 species
ACGAACGCUGGCGGCGUGCUUAACACAUGCAAGUCGAACGGUGAAGCGCCUUCCUUUUUGGUGGGUGUGGAUGAGUGGCGAACGGGUGAGUAACACGUGAGUAACCUGCCCCCUUCUUCUGGAUAACCGCAUGAAAGUGUGGCUAAUACGGGAUAUUCUGGGUCUGUCGCAUGAUGGGUCUGGGAAAGAUAUUGUUUCGGUGGGGGAUGGGCUCGCGGCCUAUCAGCUUGUUGGUGGGGUGAUGGCCUACCAAGGCGGUGACGGGUAGCCGGCCUGAGAGGGUGGACGGUCACACUGGGACUGGGACACGGCCCAGCCUCCUACGGGAGGCAGCAGGGGGGAAUAGUGCACAAUGGGCGCAAGCCUGAUGCAGCGACGCCGCGUGAGGGAUGGAGGCCUUCGGGUUGUGAACCUCUUUCGCCAGUGAAGCAGGCCUGCCUCGUUUGUGGGUGGGUUGACGGUAGCUGGAUAAGAAGCGCCGGCUAACUACGUG